GUAACACGUAUGUAACCUACCCUUGUCAGGGGGAUAGCCUCUCGAAAGAGAGAUUAAGCCCGCAUAAUAUUGUAGCAUAGCAUUAUGGAACAAUCAAAUAUUUAUAGGACGAGGAUGGGCAUGCGGAACAUUAGCUAGUUGGUAAGGUAAUGGCUUACCAAGGCUACGAUGUUUAGGGGAUCUGAGAGGAUGACCCCCCACACUGGUACUGAGACACGGACCAGACUCCUACGGGAGGCAGCAGUAAGGAAUAUUGGUCAAUGGGCGGAAGCCUGAACCAGCCAUGCCGGUGCAGGAAGACGGCCCUACGGGUUGUAAACUGCUUUUGCAGGGGAAUAAACCCCCGUACGUGUACGGGGCUGAAUGUACUCUGAGAAUAAGGAUCGGCUAACUCCGUGCCAGCAGCCGCGGUAAUACGGAGGAUCCAAGCGUUAUCCGGAUUUAUUGGGUUUAAAGGGUGCGUAGGUGGCCUGUUCAAGUCAGGGGUGAAAGACGGUAGCUUAACUAUCGCAGUGCCCUUGAUACUGAUGGGCUUGAAUGAACCUGGGA
rnacentral:rRNA from 1 species